UCUCAAUUCCUCUCCUCUCUCAAGAGUAAAAUGGAAACUAGGCUUUUUUUCAAGAUCAAGAAUCAAUCUCGUAAAUCCAAGAUUUUCAAAGAACAAAUCAAGAUUCGAGUUCUACUCUUCAAACCUUGUAAUCUAAGGAUCUGAGGCACAGUCUCGGGGUCCAGUUCAGCAAUAUAUUUGAGUGCGUCGGAAGUUGCAAUUGGUGAGUCUCCCUUACAUUGGAAGGCCUGUAUUAGAACUUGUUAUUAUUAUUUCAUUUUGACUCAUGGCCCAACUGGGGGAUUAUCCCAGAUUUCAGACAAAUGAUUUUCAGUUGUUAGAGAUUUCGCAGACUGAUGUUAGACGUUGUUUAAAGGUUUAUGCUUUCCAUUCCAGAUUAUUCAAUUGAAUUAUGAUAUCGA